rnacentral:misc_RNA from 1 species
UGCAGAAUCCCGUGAACCAUCGAGUUUUUGAACGCAAGUUGCGCCCAAAGCCAUUAGGUUGAGGGCACGUCUGCCUGGGCGUCACAUAUCGUUGCCCUGUGCCCCAUGCCUAUUGAUAGGCACCGUGCAGGGCGAAUGUUGGCUUCCCGUGAGCUCUUUUGCCUCACGGUUGGCUGAAAACUGAGUCCUUGGUAGGGUGUGUGCCAUGAUAGAUGGUGGUUGUGUGACCCACGAGACCGUUCAUGUGCAGCUCUACCAGAUUUGGCCUCUACGACCCACUUGCGUCCUUGGAUGCUCAUGACGAGACCUCAGGUCAGGCGGGGCUACCCGCUGAAUUUAAGCAUAUCAAUAAGCGGAGGAAAAGAAACUAACUAGGAUUCCCUUAGUAACGGCGAGCGAACCGGGAAGAGCCCACCAUGAGAAUCGGUCGCCCUAGGCGUUCGA